rnacentral:misc_RNA from 1 species
GAAAUGCGAUAAGUAAUGUGAAUUGCAGAAUUCAGUGAAUCAUCGAAUCUUUGAACGCACCUUGCGCUCCUUGGUAUUCCUUGGAGCAUGCCUGUUUGAGUAUCAUGAAAUCUUCAAAGUAAAUCUUUUGUUAACUCAAUUGGUUUCUACUUUGGUAUUGGAGGUCUUUGCAGCUUCACACCUGCUCCUCUUUGUUCAUUAGCUGGAUCUCAGUGUUAUGCUUGGUUCCACUCGGCGUGAUAAGUUAUCUAUCGCUGAGGACACUGUGUAAGGUGGCCAAGGUAAAUGCAGAUGAACCGCUUCUAAUAGUCCAUUGACUUGGACAAUACUUUUAUGAUCUGAUCUCAAAUCAGGUAGGACUACCCGCUGAACUUAAGC